rnacentral:rRNA from 1 species
UGGCGGACGGGUGAGUAACGCGUGGGUAACCUGCCUUGCACUGGGGGAUAACACUUAGGAAAUAGGUGCUAAUACCGCAUAAGCGCACGGUCCUGCAUGGGACAGUGUGAAAAACUCCGGUGGUGCAAGAUGGACCCGCGUCUGAUUAGCUGGUUGGCGGGGUAAAGGCCCACCAAGGCGACGAUCAGUAGCCGGCCUGAGAGGGUGGACGGCCACAUUGGGACUGAGACACGGCCCAAACUCCUACGGGAGGCAGCAG